CCCAACCUGGCUUAGUUUCCCAGAUGCCAGGAAGAUGAGACAAUGAGAGAUUGUUCUAAACCCUUGGAUACUCGUGAGUUUGUUCAUCUCCUGGCUAUCUCUAUCUCAGGUCACACACAUCACAUCUUGUCUAUGGAAUGCCAGCUGUAGGUUUUUAGGCUCCUCUCAGUUUACACAGACAUUUUAUAAAAACAGAAAUGUCUUACUAUUAGUAUAUAAGUGUUAACUAUUAAUGUCAAACAAAUCAGGUAAAUAUGUAAUUUUUCUGUCACACCUCAGAAACAAUACAAUAGCGCAACUCAAAGGACAGCUCAAAGGACAAAAACAAAUGUUGGACAGAUCUAGCACUGUUGCAGAGAAAACGACAGAGGCAACAUAUGAGAUUGCUUGGAUACUCGUGAGAAAGAAGAAGGCAGAUGCGGAGAUGAUCAAAUAAUGUUUUUUGGCCUCAGCCGAAAUAUUGCUUGCCGAUUUCACAAACAAGGAAGCUAUUUUGAAGCAAGUUAAGGGACUGCAACUCUCCGACUCGACCAUAACAAGACGUAUAGAAGACAUUGGUGAGGACAUCGGUAAGCAACUGAUUACUGACAUAUCCGUGGCGCCGUGUUUUAGUAUUGCGCUUUAUGAAAGCACUGAUGUAAGUGACAAUUAUGUGUUUGGAUCCGCUUCCCUCAAAAUGAGUCGUUCAGAGAGGAACUUUUAUGUUUACUGCCCCGUCAGGGACAAACACGAGAAGAGGAUAUUCUGAAAGCCCUCAAAUCUGGCAUCUGUGUGCACUGACGGCGCCCCAAACAUGCGAGGGAAGAAGAAGGGACUCAUAGGCCUGACGAGAAAGAGAAAGGAUAUUCCCGAAUUUGUUACGUUUCAUUGUAUCAUUCAUCAGGAAGCACUUGUGGCUAAGCUCAAAGACUGUGACUUACAGAAUGUGAUGCAGCAAGUCGUGUGUGUGGUGAACAUAAUUAUUGUGAGGGCACUGAAUCACCGGCAAUUCCGUGAGUUGCUGGAGGAAUACCAGACAGAAUACGGCAACUUGAUAUUCCACAAUGAGGUGAGAUGGCUGUCUCGUGGCAGAGUUUUGGAAAGAUUUCUCUCUCUUCCCUCAAAUCCGUGAAUUUGUUCCAAGCAAGGGGAGAGAGAAGCCAGAGCUGGAUGAUCCAAAGUGGAUAUUGUUGGGUUUUAUUUCACUUAUUAGAUGUGAUGCAUUACCUUUUACAGUAGAUGUAGGCCUAAGUAUGAACGGACUGUAAUGCACUAAGAGGUUUAUAUUGUAUUAACAUAGAUUGAGCAACAUAUAAUAGACAUGACUAACUGGAGGGUUGCUGGCUAGUAGGAGUGUAGGCUGAGUAGACUCUUGACACACACACACAAUGCCUGGUUGUGGGGCCGCUCAAGGACAGGUGUACGGGAGGGGCUGGUAGAAUGGAAGAUGGCUGUAGCGCAAAAGCAGAAACUGUCCUAACUGUAGCAUAAAAACAGGCACUGUCCUUGGGUGUCUGACUCUCGGGUACAUACAUGAAGAUAAGCUAGAAGACAACUAUGCUUGGCAACAAAGAUGCGUCUAGAGGCUGGGACCAGCCUGCACGCCAACGAUAGGAUGAGUAAGUUUAAACCACGCUCAUCCUCCCUCUGACAGGCCAGGUGUGAGCGGGAACUAUCUCUGUCAGAGUAUUUAAUGAAGAACUUAUGAUGUCAUUUUCAGUUCUCUGUUUGCCCUGCGAGGUGUUACAGUGAACCCGUAUAUACGAAGAUUGCAUUUACCAUUUAUUCUGCUUGACUAAUUCUAUUAAUAAACAGCUGAAAAUAUAUUCAGUAGCCUAGUGUUAAAUUUUGUUCUGAUACCAGAAUUGAAUUGACGCAGCCCUAACAAUUGGUGACCCCAAAUGUGAUUCUGGUAGAAGGACUUCGCUGGAACUUGUCCGGCCGAUUGGCCAUCGCUCUCGUCGGACGAUGUGUUUCACAAAUCCUGACCGGUCAAACAAAAGGUAAGCAGACACCUAUUGUGAAUAACUAAAGUUCUGCAUAUUGGCAUUAUCCAAAUUUAUUUUGUGAAGCACCUGUUUGAUGUAAGUGAUUAAAUUGUGGAACGUCCACCUGUUAUAUUAAUAAUUUGAUUUUGAAACAAUUUUGAGAGUUGUGGUGUGAUAAAUGCAAUCUUGAAACCGAUCGAUCAUUGAUGAUAUAACAAGUGAAUGUAAUGUACUAGGUAUUGAAGUACCAAGUGUGUAUGUGGUUAGUCGGCGUACUUAACCGGAAUGAGUGUGGGUGGAUGUAGGUAUAACAGCGAUUGUAAUGUACUAGGUAUUGUCGUGUCUUUGGCUAUGCCGGAUUAAGUGAUAUGACAUGCUAACUUAUAAAAUGAUUUCUCUGUAAUUAAUAUUACCUGAUUAAGCUAAUCAUGUAAAUGUAAUUAACUAGAAAGUCGGGGCACCACGGAAGAACGUUUAUAGAGCCGUUAUCUUCCGAAUAAACUCUUAAAAUACUUUGUAAUAUUUUACAUCGAUAGCAGUCAAUAUUAACCCUUGUCUUAUUUUCAGUCUCAUAAUGAAAGUUGUAAAUUCUUGGCUAUUUUCACGAACCCUGGCUAACAAGUUGAAUCAGCAAUACAAAAUUGGGUUUAAUUAUUUAUUUACUAAAUACCUAACUAAUCACACAGAAUUACAAAUACACAGAAUACAAUGAUGUCAUACAGAAUUCACCCCUGGUGAACGGAACCUGUAUGAAAGCUGGUUACACAAAGGAAAGGGGGUUGGGCUUGAGUGAAAGAGCGGGAAGAUUUAGGAACACAGAAACAGCAGCUAUGCUAUCGUAAAUACAUUAUCUUAUGCAUUCUAAAUUACCGCCCAUUUGGAAAAAGAAAAUGCAAUAAAUAUUUACUCUGAGCUGCGCUUCGGUAGAUUGGUCGUAUAUGCUGGCCGGGUUGGCCAACAGAUCUUCCUGUUACUCGGAAGAAUGUCUCUGGUGGUAAAUUGGAUACGUGGUGGUACCUUCGUCCGUCUGUUAGACUGGAUCCGUCGUCCGUCCUUUCCUAGCCCCCGUCUACAGCGGCCGCUGCUACUCAACGGCUAGGAAGUAUCACUUCUGUAGUGAAUAAGCUCAAAGUUCAUACCAUUCGCCACCAAAGCUCACGCCGAGGUUGGCUUAGUUCUGUUCUUGACAUGUGUGUCCUUCUAACGUAGAGGCUGCAGACCUCACGUGCUGGAACAACGUGGUUAUCUUUUCGUCAAAGGCUUAUAUAGUGGAGAGGGGGGAAGGAUGUGUUUCAUCGUUUAUAACCCCUCCUCUUCACAGGGGUGGCCCACUGAUCAAGCAGGGCACUUUCCUUAUGAAAACCCAAUUCUCUCAUUUGGAAGCUAAAAUUACAUUUAAUCUCCUAACAAACAAUUCCAAUAUCAAACAUUUCAAUUGCAUAACAAUUCCAUGUGACUCUGAUAACUAGAGGGUGUAUACUUUCUCAGAUACAGUUUAUGUCGUCCUGUCAUCAUUCAUAAUGUCCCAGAUAACAACGAACUUUACAUACAUACUCAUUACGUUCCCAAGCAUAUUUCCAACUGGUUUUAUUACCAAAAUAUGGUUCCUUUUCCCCAUUUGUUUGAUGAUCCCAGACUCUCUAUAUUUAACACAGGCUAUUCAAGUCCUUCAGUAGGGUCAGAGAGAGGAAGGGAGAAAGGUAUUUAUGGGGGGGGGGUCAUAAACCUUACCCACAGGCCAACGUCAUGACAGUAUUGAAGUACCAAGUGUGUAUGUGGUUAGUCGGCUUACUUAACCGGAAUGAGUGUGGAUGGAUCUAGGUAUAACAGCGAUUGUAAUGUACUAGGUAUUGAAGUACCAAGUUUGAGUGUGGCUGUCAAGUCUGGGACUGGUAGCAAGACUGAAUGAAGAUUGGGAGGUCAACCUAAUCGUAUGACUGAAGUACAUUAGAUACUAGUCGGCGUACUGUAUCAAGUGUGAAUUAUCUACGGAUAAAGGCGUUAUACUGAGUAACCAUUGAAUGACUGAAGUACAUUGGGUAUUAAGUCGGCGUACUAAUACCAAGUUUGAGUGACCUGCGGGUAAAUAAGAGGUCGGGGACGGUCGACCUGAGUUAUAUCAUCUAGCGCUGGGGAAAUAAAUAACGUUAGGAACGUACGUUAGAGACGUAAAUUGACAUUGAUAGUUAGGUUACCAUAGACUGAAAUUGAAAGGGAUGUAAAUUAACAUUGAUAGUUAGGUUACCAUAGACUGAAAUUGAAUAUGACCAACCAGGAGACCGAGAGGGUGCUGAAAGCACUGAAGUUAACACUAGAGAUUAAUGGGGGUAGAGACGGGAAAGAGUGGAAAAGGAGGGGGGAAAUUAUACAAGGAAUGGAUAAGAGAAGGUAGUAUUAAUGCACCCAACAGACUCCCAGUCGACGGGGAGCCCGGUAGAAUAUUGGAAACGCUAAAAUGAAAAACAGACAAAACCUGUUCCGAGUGGAAGCAGGAGGGGGAAGCGCGUAAAGGAAUUGCAGGAAUUUACGGGAGUUGAGCGAUACAUGGAGUUAAUUUUAUUUUACUGGGACGAUGCACAUUAAACACAGUUAUGUAUAAUGGCAGGGUAUUCCUAGCAAACAGAAUGGGCCUGUUUGCAGACAAACUGAAGGGGUUUUAAGGUUUUAAGCAAUCUUGGGUCAAAUUAGUCAAAUAGUACGUUAAAAUAUGGGGUUUCAUAGAUUGGAAGUAAAAUAUAUAAUCCAAGGGUAGUGUAUGUUCAAUUAAAGUACACAGAACCAUCGAGGAAGUUUAAAACAAAUGAUUAAUGAUUUGGGGAAGUACAGUGGAGUUAUUAUUAGGUUUUGUUUGUAGUUAACUUUUGGGGUUUUGAAUCGGUGUAGUAGGAUGAAAUGCUGACCAAGUGGUUGUAUUUUCUGGAAAAAGGAGCGUUUCAAAUUCCUAGGGACAGGAUAUCUUAAAGGGGUAUACACACAUAUGGAAUCUUAAAAGUUAUACACCCAUGGAAUCGUUGAGGUUUUGUUUUCUGAGUUUUAAUUAAAUACGUGAAAUUCUUUUGAUAGGGAAUGUUCUGGGAACCUGGGAUACAAAAUGUAGAUAAAGUUCUUUGCUUUCAUUUAUCUAAAGUAGUAAGAAACACGGUUCUGAAAGGGUGGUAUGACUUUUGACCCCUCUGGUGACUUUUCCUUUUGUGGUCUGAUCAGCCGCAAUGAAAAGCCAUUUGGAUGGUGAAUUUAAGGUCAUUUGUGAUACUGACUUUAAGGAAAUUUGUAGAACUGAUAAUUAUGAUGGAGUUAAAGUUCUUAGACGCAGUUGAUAAUUUGAACCAAUGAAAAGACUGAAUGACGAUAAGGGUACAAUAAUUUUUCUUUGUGGAGUAGUUCAGAUUAGUCAUUUUUGAUCUGAUUAUGUUAUUUGAACUCAUAAUGAUUUGUUUAGAUAUGCAGCAAUAUUGAUACAUGGCUUGAGCCAUGUAUAAAUAGGGGGAGUAUGGUAGGGCAGGCGAUAGAACAGGUUAGGAUAAUUACUUAACAACAUUUUUGUAGAAUAUCCUUUCCAACAUUUGGAAAUGGACUUAUUGAACUAUUCCCGAAUUGAGGGGAAGAAGGGGUGUUUAACAAUAACAGAUAAGUAUAGCAAAUGCGUAGAAGCGUUCCCAACUUACUUGGUGGACAUAAUUAUGGUAGCUAGAAUAUUAGGUCAAGAUAUUAUCCCUAGAGUUGGUUUACUGGGAUCUAUCUCUUUAAAUGAUGGAUGACAUUUUAGCUAAUCAGGUAGAGCCUAUAGAAUGCCAGAGUUAGAGAUACCAGAACAGGUAGACAUAGAAGUUGAAGCAAUACUAACAGAACACAUGAGAAGACUGUUUGUUAACCAAGAAUUUGUGUCCAACAGGUGAAUUACAGGAGAAGGUGAUUCACUCAAUCCAACCAAGAGACUGGGUGUGGAUCCAGUCCCUGAGGAGAAAAGACGGGAAGCAGCCCCGUGGGGAAGGCCCAUACCAGGUGCUGUUAAACCAUUGCCUUUGCCAUUAGAAAAGCUGAGAGUCACUUGGGUCCACGUUAUCCACUGCAAGAAGGUAUGUACACAUAUCCACUGCUGAUCACACACAGAGUUAGGAGAAGAACCGAGUACCAACAGGGUCCGGGGGUUACCUCCUUAACGAAGAUUUCCUAUCCCGACCGUUCAUCACUGUGUGUGCUCCUAGAGGUGUGAGUAUGGGGUGGUACCUAGCAGAGAGACUAAGGGCAGGAGAGGGUUGGCGGUUUUUGGGAAGAGUAGGGACUCUGAGCUGCAUCAUAGUCUAAUCUUUCUGAUACAUUCAGAUCCACCACCUUCUGGUACUAAUCAUACGAUACCGUUGUCAUUGAGAAGAAGUAGAAUAUAAAGUAUAUAAUACACUGAUGAGUGACUUACAGAAUAAGGAGUCAAAGAAGAUCAAGAUGUGGGAUUUAAGAUUCAUGAAUGAAACCGGGGAUGCAGUAAAGAGGUUCUCUGACCAAUUAUCCGCCACCUCCCUCAUGACCUGGUAAAAUAGACUGACUCUCGAUAUGUUACUGGCAAAGGAGGAUGGUGUAGGUAGAAUGAUUAGGUUCAUUGCUGUACGUACAUUCCUGAUAACACAGCCCAUGUUUGGGAAAUGGAAAAGUGUUGUAGGAACGGUAUUAUGGGCAGCUUUCACCUGUAUGAGUGUGUUUGGGUUGUUGUUUGGUCCCGUGUGCGAGAGGUCUCAUUUCCACGGUUCUGGAGAGAUCAAUAACGGAGCAGAUGGUGAGUUCAGACCAGUGGGACGACAACUACCUACCGCCGAGCCUGGUGGAGGAUUCAUUCAACUAUGAGGAGCCCAUGAUAAGAUGAGACCAUCUUUAGAGUUUCCUGAAUUAGUUUGAUUUUGUGUGAAAUUUCUGAAUCCAAAAAAAAUAGAUGUGUUAUAAUGUAUGUGAAAUAUUUAGCCAAUCGGGUGGAUAUAAUGAAAGGUUUGACUAAAAGAUUUCACUCAGAAACCUUAUAACCUGUUGAAAUGUAUUCGAAAUACAGCUAUAAUAAUGGGUUAAAAACUAUAUUCCAAUACUGUGUGAGUAAGACACUGUUACCAGAAUGAGCAGGGCAGAGUUGAUAAGACGACCUUGGGAAGGGAACAGGAGAAGAAGCCUCCCUAAGUUAGGGAGAGUAACAACGGCCUGGGAACGGCAGGUGGGCAGGAGAUUAGAAGACAGGUGGCAAGGUUGUUAAGGAAUGUAUGUGUACUGUGGGAAAAAUACAGCCGCCUAAAGCUGGGUUGAGUUCUUUACUGAUGUGUGUGUAACAGAGAUUUGUUAACUAUACUCGCACUGCACUGACAGGUAUGGCUGAGCAACUAGAGGCUACCACUAGAACCACUAGACAAAAUAGAUUGGAGUUGGAUAUGAUAUUGGCUAAUAAUGGGGGGUGUAUAAAACGUUUGGUGAACAAUGCUGUACUUUUAUCCCUAAUAACACUAGCCCUGAUGGUAAGCAUUACCAAAGCCCUACUGGAACUUGAAAAGCUAUCUGCUGAAAUGAAGGGUGUAGCAGGGGUAUACGAGGGGAAUUGGCUGAACAUCUUUUUUGGUAAGUACACAUCUAUGGUGGUUACUGGAUUUCUGACCCUAGUGCUUGUGUUCUUAUUAUUGUUGUGUUGUGUUGCCUGUAUAAUCCCUUGCUUGAGAAAAUAUCUUACAGAAGUUGUCAGAGCAACCGGAAUGAUGUCUUUGAUGGAAGUGACCCCAGUGGAUACUGAAUCAACCUCUAGGCAAAAGACGGGUCUGUCUGAGGACGAUCCUUGGUUUGCUGUUGGGGAAAUGGUUGAAUAAAGCUUAUCCAAAAUGUUCUCAUAUGUAUUGAAUGUAGUGGCAGGUGGAUGUGAAGGUUUUAAGUACUGGGACAAAAAGUCUGUCCCAUACAUGUUAGGUGUAGCCACUGUCGCAAAAAGGUCUUCUUUUUAUACGUUUUUUAAAUAAUAUGUUCUGAAUUUAUCUUGUGUACUAUUUGUCUUUCCUUAUGUGAAGGUUUGAAGUUCCUGGGUGGCUGGUAGUCAACCUAGUACAAGUGAGGUGUAGCCGGAAGGACUUGAGGGUUUUUUAACUAAUCAUCUAAUCAUUAAAAUGGGAAUUAAAAAUUGUGUUGAGUGACACCCUAGGGGGUGUCAAAAGGGGGAAUCUCAAAAUUUCCCUGACAUUUUAAGAACUUAUAUAUUCACACUUAUCAGGUGUGAAAAGGGGGAUUGUUGGGUUUUAUUUCACUUAUUAGAUGUGAUGCAUUACCUUUUACAGUAGAUGUAGGCCUAAGUAUGAACGGACUGUAAUGCACUAAGAGGUUUAUAUUGUAUUAACAUAGAUUGAGCAACAUAUAAUAGACAUGACUAACUGGAGGGUUGCUGGCUAGUAGGAGUGUAGGCUGAGUAGACUCUUGACACACACACACAAUGCCUGGUUGUGGGGCCGCUCAAGGACAGGUGUACGGGAGGGGCUGGUAGAAUGGAAGAUGGCUGUAGCACAAAAGCAGAAACUGUCCUAACUGUAGCAUAAAAACAGGCACUGUCCUUGGGUGUCUGACUCUCGGGUACACACAUGAAGAUAAGCUAGAAGACAACUAUGCUUGGCAACAAAGAUGCGUCUAGAGGCUGGUACCAGCCUGCACGCCAACGAUAGGAUGAGUAAGUUUAAACCACGCUCAUCCUCCCUCUGACAGGCCAGGUGUGAGCGGGAACUAUCUCUGUCAGAGUAUUUAAUGAAGAACUUAUGAUGUCAUUUUCAGUUCUCUGUUUGCCCUGCGAGGUGUUACAGUGAACCCGUAUAUACGAAGAUUGCAUUUACCAUUUAUUCUGCUUGACUAAUUCUAUUAAUAAACAGCUGAAAAUAUAUUCAGUAGCCUAGUGUUAAAUUUUGUUCUGAUACCAGAAUUGAAUUGACGCAGCCCUAACAAUAUUAAAGCUGGCUUUUUAAACUGACAUUACCUGCCACCUGAACACGGUGAAUAUCCAGCUCCAAGGGAAAGCUACAUCUCUGGGCAAAAUGCUGCGUGUGGUCACAACAUUUCAAAAUAAAACCAUCUCACUGUUCAUACCUGACAGACAGUUUGUUCAUUUCCCAAAACUCAGAGCAGUCCCCACAUCCAACCCAGACAUACUGCAACAUUUUAGCUAUGAUGCAUUUGUGCGUGUGUUGGAAGAGUUGGAGUUUGAGUCAAGAUUCAAGGAUAUCAUGGAGUACAAGGAGUUUUUGAGGACCCCUUUCAUGUGCCAGUGUCAUCUCUGACCCCAGUCAUCACAGCCCUCUGUCUUGACCGUGCUGGCAUAGAGAGUGAGAUAGUAGAGCUGCAGGCAAAUUACAUAUUGUAAGGUGAACUAAGAUCAGGUGUUACCCAUUUCUGGUGCCCUGUGUCAGACACAGAGUAUCCACUUCUGAAGCACUGCGUGCAAAAGGUGACAUUUUGUCAGCACUUACUCAUGUGAAGCAACAUGUUCAACAAUUUCAAACAAAAACAGUGAGACAGACUGACUAAUGCACACCUGGAUUGCCUCACAAGGAUACCAACAACAAACUAUACAUUUAGAAUGAAUUCAGUCAAGGAGCAGAAGGGACAUUUUCAAUCAUCCAACUACUGAGGUAACCCUUAAUAUGGGUCUAAUACAUGUGAUGUAGCCUAUUUGAUGUGUGUAUGUAUAUAUUUGUGAUGUGCUGUACCUCAAAUAAAUUACAUGUGUUCUAUUGCUCUGAAUUUGCUCUCAAUUGAUAAUUGCUAAUAUUGGAAGAUAAAUUACAACAAAUUAAAGAUCGGUGCGGCCCUCUGAAUGAUUGUCUCAACCCAACGUGGCCCCCUUACAAAAAAUAGUGAGUAACACGGCUGUAACACAGCAAAAUGUGGAAUAAAUCAAGAGGUAUGAAUACUU
rnacentral:lncRNA from 1 species